GAAAGAUUAAUACCGGAUGGCAUAGUUUUCCCGCAUGAGAGAACUAUUAAAGAACUUCGGUUAUCGAUGGGGAUGCGUUCCAUUAGGCAGUUGGCGGGGUAACGGCCCACCAAACCGACGAUGGAUAGGGGUUCUGAGAGGAAGGUCCCCCACAUUGGAACUGAGACACGGUCCAAACUCCUACGGGAGGCAGCAGUGAGGAAUAUUGGUCAAUGGACGGGAGUCUGAACCAGCCAAGUAGCGUGAAGGAUGACUGCCCUAUGGGUUGUAAACUUCUUUUAUACGGGAAUAAAGUUAGCCACGUGUGGUUAUUUGUAUGUACCGUAUGAAUAAGGAUCGGCUAACUCCGUGCCAGCAGCCGCGGUAAUACGGAGGAUCCGAGCGUUAUCCGGAUUUAUUGGGUUUAAAGGGAGCGUAGGCGGGAUAUUAAGUCAGUUGUGAAAGUUUGCGGCUCAACCGUAAAAUUGCAGUUGAUACUGGUAUCCUUGAGUGCAGCAUAGGCGGGCGGAAUUCGUGGUGUAGCGGUGAAAUGCUUAGAUAUCACGAAGAACUCCGAUUGCGAAGGCAGCUCGCUGGACUGUAACUGACGCUGAUGCUCGAAAGUGUGGGUAUCAAACAGGAUUAGAUACCCUGGUAGUCCACACAGUAAACGAUGAAUACUCGCUGUUGGCGAUACACUGUCAGCGGCCAAGCGAAAGCAUUAAGUAUUCCACCUGGGGAGUACGCCGGCAACGGUGAAACUCAAAGGAAUUGACGGGGGCCCGCACAAGCGGAGGAACAUGUGGUUUAAUUCGAUGAUACGCGAGGAACCUUACCCGGGCUUGAAUUGCAGCGGAAUGU
rnacentral:rRNA from 1 species